AUGACAAGCGUGACCAAAAAUCAGUUUGGUUUCAUGCCUGGGAGGUCGACCAUGGAAGCCAUUUUCUUGGUACGACAACUUAUGGAGAGAUAUAGGGAGCAAAAGAAGGACUUGCAUAUGGUGUUCAUUGACUUGGAGAAGGCCUAUGAUAAGAUACCACGGAAUAUCAUGUGGUGGGACUUGAAGAAACACAAAGUCCCAGCAAAGUACAUUACCCUCAUCAAGGACAUGUACAAUAAUGUUGUGACAAGUGUUCGAACAAGUGAUGUCGACAUCGAUGACUUCCCGAUUAAGAUAGGACUGCAUCAGGGGUCAGCUUUGAGCCCUUAUCUAUUUGCAUUGGUGAUGGAUGAGGUCACAAGGGGUAUACAAGGAGAUAUCCCAUGGUGUAUGCUCUUUGCGGAUGAUGUGGUGUUAGUUGACGAUAGUCGGACGAGGGUAAAUAGGAAGUUAGAGUUAUGGAGACAAACCUUGGAAUCGAAAGGGUUUAGGCUUAGUAGAACUAAAACCGAGUACAUGAUGUGCGGUUUCAGUACUACUAGGUGUGAGGAGGAGGAGGUUAGCCUUGAUGGCCAGGUGGUACCUCGGAAGGACACCUUUCGGUAUUUGGGGUCAAUGUUGCAGGAGGAUGUGGGUAUUGAUGAAGAUGUGAACCAUCGAAUCAAAGCCGGAUGGAUGAAGUGGCGCCAAGCUUCUGGCAUUCUCUGUGACAAGAGAGUGCCACAAAAGCUAAAAGGCAAGUCCUAA
rnacentral:rRNA from 1 species